rnacentral:rRNA from 1 species
GUACCCUGGUAGUCCACGCUGUAAACGAUGUCGACUUGGAGGUUGUUCCCUUGAGGAGUGGCUUCCGGAGCUAACGCGUUAAGUCGACCGCCUGGGGAGUACGGCCGCAAGGUUAAAACUCAAAUGAAUUGACGGGGGCCCGCACAAGCGGUGGAGCAUGUGGUUUAAUUCGAUGCAACGCGAAGAACCUUACCUACUCUUGACAUCCAGAGAACUUAGCAGAGAUGCUUUGGUGCCUUCGGGAACUCUGAGACAGGUGCUGCAUGGCUGUCGUCAGCUCGUGUUGUGAAAUGUUGGGUUAAGUCCCGCAACGAGCGCAACCCUUAUCCUUUGUUGCCAGCGGUCCGGCCGGGAACUCAAAGGAGACUGCCAGUGAUAAACUGGAGGAAGGUGGGGAUGACGUCAAGUCAUCAUGGCCCUUACGAGUAGGGCUACACACGUGCUACAAUGGCAUAUACAAAGAGAAGCGACCUCGCGAGAGCAAGCGGACCUCAUAAAGUAUGUCGUAGUCCGGAUUGGAGUCUGCAACUCGACUCCAUGAAGUCGGAAUCGCUAGUAAUCGUAGAUCAGAAUGCUACGGUGAAUACGUUCCCGGGCCUUGUACACACCGCCCGUCACACCAUGGGAGUGGGUUGCAAAAGAAGUAGGUAGCUUAAC